GCAGGCCAAUUGGCACCGGAACUGGAGCACCACGGCGUCUGGUUUCGUAGGGGAAGGUUUAAGAAGCCUUCCCCAUAGCCGGACUUCCGCUUCCGGUCCUCGGAAUCUGUACGAGGUCGUUAUGGAGGAACCGGAGAUGCAACUCAAGGGAAAGAAAGGAGAUCACUCCAUCUGUUGUUUGGAGAUUGGACUGUUGGCAGAGCGGAAGCAGGGAGACCAGGAAGGAGCUGAAUCUGGCGUCCUGGCGAGAGGUGGCCAUGCCUGGACCAGCGUGGGCAGUGUAGUGGUAAGAAUAGUCACAGACAAGUUCACUGAGAGUGUCUAUGUCCUGGCCAAUGAGCCAUCCGUGGCCCUGUACCGGCUGCAGGAGCACGUGCGCCGCUCUCUGCCUGAGCUGGCCCAGCAUAAGGCUGACAUGCAGCGAUGGGAGGAGCAGAGCCAGGGAGCCAUUUACACAGUGGAGUAUGCCUGCAGUGCUGUGAAGAACCUUGUUGACAGCAGCGUCUACUUCCGCAGCGUGGAGGGUCUUCUGAAACAGGCCAUCAGCAUCCGGGACCACAUGAAUGCUGCCGCCCAGAGCCACAGGUAGCUCCGGGACCACCCGCUCCUGCUCUCAGCCUCCUUGCUCCCUGACGAACCACCCCUGCCCUCCUCAGCUUGAUCCCGGAAGAGACUUGGAGGUGCUUUGGCCCCUCUGGCUCAGGCCGCAGUCCCUGUCUCGAUCCCGUGUUCCCCCUGCCAAGACAGAAAGGGGGAGCCCACGUUUGGUUGUUUUACUCACACGCGUUCUCUCAGGCAGAGCCCAGCAUGAUGGCUACCCACCCAGCUCAGGAAUCUUCGCUGCACUGCUGGCCAGCUGUGUGACCCUGAGAAAGUCCCUCCCCUCUCUGGUCUCUGCUUUUCCCUUCCGUCAGAGUGGUUCAGCAGGCAGCAGAGGGUGCUGCUGCAUAGUGAUGUGUGUUGUAGCAAUCAGCUACUGCUGCAUGACAAACUAUCCCCAAACUUAGUGGUUGACAACCCUAGUCAUUUGGCUGCUUACAGUCCUGCGAUUUGGGCUGGGCUCAGCUGGGCAGUUUUUCUGGACUUAACAACUGUCUGGCACUCACCAGAAUUCAAAGGGGCUCAUAGUCAGAGGUGGCCUCGCUCACACAUCUGGAUCUGGACCCGUGCCGUCAGCAGCAGGGGAUCCGUUCCCUUCCGCGUGGCCUCCCCAGCAGGCCGCCCUAGGCUUCUCCUGGUGACCGGGUGCCCAGAGGGCAGCCCCCGUGUGCCUGUGCCCAUCCGACCUCUUCUUGCUUCACACCGCGGAUGCUCCAUUGGUCGAGGCCAGCCACGUGGCCAGGCCAAGAACUUGAUGGGAGAGGACUGCAGGAAGGCCUCAAUACCGGGAGGUGUGAUCGACUGUGUGAGGAGAGCAUGGUACCAAGAAAGGCCUGGCACGUUGUUACUCGGCGCCCGUGUAGGGCCGACCCCGGCAGAUCGGCGGCAUCUGAGGGACUUCCUGAGCUCUGGCUGUUGUAGUUCUCAAAGACCCGCCCGUUUGCCAGGCACUGCAAUGGCGCUCUGUGCCACAGAGGCCCUCUCAGAGGGCUUGGGAGGCGUGAGUGGGAUGGGGCCUCCACAGCCCCCAGGCCACAGUCUCCAGAGACAAGAGGCAGCAGAAUUCAUGUGUAUACAGUUGAAGUACUUUUUGAGCACCUGCUGUGUGCCAGGCUUAGCUCUCCGGCUGGGGGUAGUGAGGAAUCCCGCUGGCUGUGGGAUUGCCUAGGGAGCAUCUGGGAGGACUUGGGGCAGGAGGGGCUACCAAGAGGGUCAGCAACUCACCCCAAUGGCCCACGCAGUGUUGCCCACCAGCCCUGGGCUACACCCCACCAUCUCUCCACUCCCUUCUCGCCCUCGUCACUCCCACCAUCCAGCCUCAAGGACACCGCCCUGCUGCCUUCCCCACACCCUGUUGUCAUCUGCUGUCCCUCUGCUGCUGCGCCCCCUUGGAAUAAAAUUCUCUGUGGCUUCUCCUGAUCCCGCCUUUAUCCCUA